UAGCCUCUUGAUGUCAAAAAGUCGCCUAUCGGACAUCUGUGAGGGCCCAAUUGAUGAGUUAGCGGUCCCAACCAGCCUGGAAUGGACAAGAAGUUCUAAUUCCUGAAGAACAGCUCACACACCCAUCACCAUGGUGACCCAGGCUGCAGGGAGAUGUUACCUAUAGGAGCCUAGUGGGAGUCAGCAUACUGCCUAACCAGCACAGUCAAUAGGACCAGAGGAAACCCGCUAUGCAGGGAUGAAUAAGGCAUGGUGACAAGUAUGUAUUGAUUCUACAGCCAGAUAAAAUGCAUCCAGAUCACAGGUGGCCACUGUUGCCCCCUCUGCAUGCCUGGACCCUAACUGCUAAGACUCCAGCUGUGCUUCUGGAAUGCCAAAGGAAGAAAAGGAGGCUUGGGUAUUUCCUAAGAGCCCCACGGGAAUUCUUAGGAGCUGUAAGUGGUUCUCACCAUGGAGCUCAGGAAAGCCAUAAAAAU
rnacentral:lncRNA from 1 species